GGGUUGUGAGGUUAAGCGACUAAGCGUACACGGUGGAUGCCCUGGCAGUCAGAGGCGAUGAAGGACGUGCUAAUCUGCGAUAAGCGUCGGUAAGGUGAUAUGAACCGUUAUAACCGGCGAUUUCCGAAUGGGGAAACCCAGUGUGUUUCGACACACUAUCAUUAACUGAAUCCAUAGGUUAAUGAGGCGAACCGGGGGAACUGAAACAUCUAAGUACCCCGAGGAAAAGAAAUCAACCGAGAUUCCCCCAGUAGCGGCGAGCGAACGGGGAGCAGCCCAGAGCCUGAAUCAGUGUGUGUGUUAGUGGAAGCGUCUGGAAAGGCGCGCGAUACAGGGUGACAGCCCGUACACAAAAAUGCACAUGCUGUGAGCUCGAUGAGUAGGGCGGGACACGUGGUAUCCUGUCUGAAUAUGGGGACCAUCCUCCAAGGCUAAAUACUCCUGACUGACCGAUAGUGAACCAGUACCGUGAGGGAAAGGCGAAAAGAACCCCGGCGAGGGAGUGAAAAGAACCUGAAACCGUGUACGUACAAGCAGUGGGAGCACGCUUAGGCGUGUGACUGCGUACCUUUGUAUAAUGGGUCAGCGACUUAUAUUCUGUAGCAAGGUUAACCGAAUAGGGGAGCCGAAGGGAAACCGAGUCUUAACUGGGCGUUAAGUUGCAGGGUAUAGACCCGAAACCCGGUGAUCUAGCCAUGGGCAGGUUGAAGGUUGGGUAACACUAACUGGAGGACCGAACCGACUAAUGUUGAAAAAUUAGCGGAUGACUUGUGGCUGGGGGUGAAAGGCCAAUCAAACCGGGAGAUAGCUGGUUCUCCCCGAAAGCUAUUUAGGUAGCGCCUCGUGAAUUCAUCUCCGGGGGUAGAGCACUGUUUCGGCAAGGGGGUCAUCCCGACUUACCAACCCGAUGCAAACUGCGAAUACCGGAGAAUGUUAUCACGGGAGACACACGGCGGGUGCUAACGUCCGUCGUGAAGAGGGAAACAACCCAGACCGCCAGCUAAGGUCCCAAAGUCAUGGUUAAGUGGGAAACGAUGUGGGAAGGCCCAGACAGCCAGGAUGUUGGCUUAGAAGCAGCCAUCAUUUAAAGAAAGCGUAAUAGCUCACUGGUCGAGUCGGCCUGCGCGGAAGAUGUAACGGGGCUAAACCAUGCACCGAAGCUGCGGCAGCGACGCUUAUGCGUUGUUGGGUAGGGGAGCGUUCUGUAAGCCUGCGAAGGUGUGCUGUGAGGCAUGCUGGAGGUAUCAGAAGUGCGAAUGCUGACAUAAGUAACGAUAAAGCGGGUGAAAAGCCCGCUCGCCGGAAGACCAAGGGUUCCUGUCCAACGUUAAUCGGGGCAGGGUGAGUCGACCCCUAAGGCGAGGCCGAAAGGCGUAGUCGAUGGGAAACAGGUUAAUAUUCCUGUACUUGGUGUUACUGCGAAGGGGGGACGGAGAAGGCUAUGUUGGCCGGGCGACGGUUGUCCCGGUUUAAGCGUGUAGGCUGGUUUUCGCAAAUCCGGAAAAUCAAGGCUGAGGCGUGAUGACGAGGCACUACGGUGCUGAAGCAACAAAUGCCCUGCUUCCAGGAAAAGCCUCUAAGCAUCAGGUAACAUCAAAUCGUACCCCAAACCGACACAGGUGGUCAGGUAGAGAAUACCAAGGCGCUUGAGAGAACUCGGGUGAAGGAACUAGGCAAAAUGGUGCCGUAACUUCGGGAGAAGGCACGCUGAUAUGUAGGUGAGGUCCCUCGCGGAUGGAGCUGAAAUCAGUCGAAGAUACCAGCUGGCUGCAACUGUUUAUUAAAAACACAGCACUGUGCAAACACGAAAGUGGACGUAUACGGUGUGACGCCUGCCCGGUGCCGGAAGGUUAAUUGAUGGGGUUAGCGCAAGCGAAGCUCUUGAUCGAAGCCCCGGUAAACGGCGGCCGUAACUAUAACGGUCCUAAGGUAGCGAAAUUCCUUGUCGGGUAAGUUCCGACCUGCACGAAUGGCGUAAUGAUGGCCAGGCUGUCUCCACCCGAGACUCAGUGAAAUUGAACUCGCUGUGAAGAUGCAGUGUACCCGCGGCAAGACGGAAAGACCCGUGAACCUUUACUAUAGCUUGACACUGAACAUUGAGCCUUGAUGUGUAGGAUAGGUGGGAGGCUUUGAAGUGUGGACGCCAGUCUGCAUGGAGCCGACCUUGAAAUACCACCCUUUAAUGUUUGAUGUUCUAACGUUGACCCGUAAUCCGGGUUGCGGACAGUGUCUGGUGGGUAGUUUGACUGGGGCGGUCUCCUCCUAAAGAGUAACGGAGGAGCACGAAGGUUGGCUAAUCCUGGUCGGACAUCAGGAGGUUAGUGCAAUGGCAUAAGCCAGCUUGACUGCGAGCGUGACGGCGCGAGCAGGUGCGAAAGCAGGUCAUAGUGAUCCGGUGGUUCUGAAUGGAAGGGCCAUCGCUCAACGGAUAAAAGGUACUCCGGGGAUAACAGGCUGAUACCGCCCAAGAGUUCAUAUCGACGGCGGUGUUUGGCACCUCGAUGUCGGCUCAUCACAUCCUGGGGCUGAAGUAGGUCCCAAGGGUAUGGCUGUUCGCCAUUUAAAGUGGUACGCGAGCUGGGUUUAGAACGUCGUGAGACAGUUCGGUCCCUAUCUGCCGUGGGCGCUGGAGAACUGAGGGGCUGCUCCUAGUACGAGAGGACCGGAGUGGACGCAUCACUGGUGUUCGGGUUGUCAUGCCAAUGGCACUGCCCGGUAGCUAAAUGCGGAAGAGAUAAGUGCUGAAAGCAUCUAAGCACGAAACUUGCCCCGAGAUGAGUUCUCCCUGACUCCUUGAGAGUCCUGAAGGAACGUUGAAGACGACGACGUUGAUAGGCCGGGUGUGUAAGCGCAGCGAUGCGUUGAGCUAACCGGUACUAAUGAACCGUGAGGCUUAACCUUACAACGCCGAAGGUGUUU
rnacentral:rRNA from 1 species